rnacentral:tRNA from 1 species
GGUUCCAUAGUGUAGUGGUGGUUAGCAUGUCUGCUUUACACACAGAAGGUCCUGGGUUCAUGCUCCAGUGAAGCCA